AUGGUCCAACAGGUACGCCGCGACCUCCCUGAACCCUGUCUCCCCUACCCGAACGGACUUCUUCAGUCCCGGCUGGCCAAGCGCUCUCCCGGUGAACCCUUUCGGGUUGUUCGGGGCGAAGGGCUCCUCAUCUGUGGGCUUGACAAUGGCGACUCUGUCGCCCUCAUCAUUCCUGAAGUAGUAGGAGCCGCCAAGGCCACUGUCAAUGGGGACCGGAUCCAGCCCGCUCAUUAUGCCGGUGGCCACGUCGUCGACGAGGCGCCUCACGCUGCCGCUCGACGACCCGAGUAUCUCCACCAGGCCGCUGCAGUCCUUCUGCUCGAAGUCCUCGGAGACCGGGCAGAGGCACGGGGUGGAGCAGCUGCGGUGGAUGCUGUUGCGGGUGAGCAGCAGCGGCGAGUCGUGGCGGACGGAGGAGAGGUCGUUCUCCAGGACGCGGUCGCCGAAGGUGAGCGAGGUCCCGCCGGUGGGCACGUUGAGGGCGAGCUGCAGCCGGCGCUUGACGGUGUGCGCGUUGUCGCCGCGGUCCAGGUCCAUGCCCAGCACGCACCCGGACUCCGUCUGCACGAACACCCGCCGCCUCCCUGCCGGAGGCGGCGAGGGCGACGGCCGCGGCGCCUGGCGGUGGUGGUGCUGAGUGGCCGCCGCCUCAUCCCGGCGCGCCCCGGCGCCGAAGAGGCGCCGGAGGAGCAGCGCCGGCACCUGGCUCUUGAGCGUGCCCUCCAGGUUGGGGGACAUGGCGGCCGCCGCUCCCUUUCCUCCUCCGCCGCUUGGUGCGCCCGCCGCGCGCCGACGCCGUCAGGGAGAGCAGGGGAAGGCGCGCUCUCGUUGCUAUCAUCGGAUCACGCCUAUGCAGCGAAGGGGAGGGCGGGAAUUGAUUGUCAGUCAGCCAAGGUCUCACCAUGGAGGAGGGGGCGGGGCGCUGGAGGACGGUGGGGGGAUCGGCCGGCGGCGAGGUAG
rnacentral:rRNA from 1 species